CCAGCCAUUACGGAUCGAUGUUUUAAUCCCCAACAACUGGCAACUCUUCGCGUGCUGCAGCGUCCACCCGGCACCAUCCUCUCCCCAGCCUCGCUAUUCCGCGGGCGGCGGGGGGCGAGCGGCCCACGCAGGGGGAACCGCUGUUCUCCCACUCCCGGGGUCCCGAUUCCCGAAGUCAGGCUGGGCCGAGCGCGGCGGGGGAGACCCCGGGAACCGGCGACCCCCGCACAUCCCCGGCCAACCGCGCCGCCCGCGACUUAAGCAACUCCGCGACCGAGGCCGCGCGGGCCGCCAGGACCAGAAGUGCUCUGCGCUCUGCUAUUAACCCCAUGAAAAGAGUUCUUUCCAGAUAAGCGGAUACUUGCGGCUGCGUGGAGUGGAUCCCAGUCCCAGUUUGCUACCAGCAAUCCCAACCCAAGACACAGAUUUCUGGGUGCUGGUGUGAUGCUAUGUGUCGUGAAAUCCAGCCGAUAGGAGAUCCUUCACACAGUCUCUGUCUUUUCCGCCUCUCCCCUCCCAGUCGCUGUCUCCAGGUGUGCUCUAGCUUCUGUUCCCACCCACCUCUGUGUGAGGCAAGUCGAACCGCGUCAGCAGACAAGAACUGGGAAGGGUGAGCAGAUUCAGACCAGGACACCCCAC
rnacentral:lncRNA from 1 species